rnacentral:rRNA from 1 species
UACGUAGGGUGCAAGCGUUGUCCGGAAUUAUUGGGCGUAAAGAGCUCGUAGGCGGUCUGUCGCGUCUGCUGUGAAAACUCAGGGCUUAACCCUGAGCUUGCAGUGGGUACGGGCAGACUAGAGUGCGGUAGGGGAGACUGGAAUUCCUGGUGUAGCGGUGAAAUGCGCAGAUAUCAGGAGGAACACCGGUGGCGAAGGCGGGUCUCUGGGCCGUAACUGACGCUGAGGAGCGAAAGCAU